UACGGAGGGGGCUAGCGUUGUUCGGAAUUACUGGGCGUAAAGCGCGCGUAGGCGGACCUGCAAGUCGGGGGUGAAAGCCCGAGGCUCAACCUCGGAACUGCCUUCGAUACUGCGGGUCUCGAGUCCGGGAGAGGUGAGUGGAAUUCCGUGGUGUAGCGGUGAAAUGCGCAGAUAUCAGGAAGAACACCCGUGGCGAAGGCGGCUCUCUGGGACGGUACUGACGCUGAGACGCGAAAGCGUGGGGAGCGAACAGG
rnacentral:rRNA from 1 species